GACGAACGCUGGCGGCGUGCUUAACACAUGCAAGUCGAGCGAGGCCCGCCUUCGGGUGGUGUCCUAGCGGCGAACGGGUGAGUAACACGUGGGCAACCUGCCCUCAGCUCUGGGAUAACUCCAAGAAAUUGGGGCGUAAUACCGGAUAUGACCGCUGACCGCAUGGUCUGGUGGUGGAAAGAUUUAUCGGCUGGGGAUGGGCCCGCGGCCUAUCAGCUUGUUGGUGGGGAGUGGCCUACCAAGGCGACGACGGGUAGCCGGCCUGAGAGGGUGA
rnacentral:rRNA from 1 species